GGGGGGAAUAUUACAAGAAGAAUCUAGGAAGUAACUAUUAGCCACCCACCCCAAUCGAAGACCCAUUUUCUCUUCAUCAACCGUCGCCUCCUCCGUCGCUCAAAAUUGUGCAGGAUGUCGGAUUUGGAACCACCCUUUAGACCACGAGAGAAGAUUAUUGAAAAGCAAAAGUAUUUCCAGCAUAUCCCGAAACACACAUACUUGAAAGGGCCAUUUGAUAGGGUUACAUCAGUAGCAAUACCAGCUGCUUUGGCAGCAACUUCAUUGUUUCUGAUUGGUCGAGGGAUCUACAAUAUGUCACUUGGAAUAGGAAAGAAAGAAUAACUUGGGAGUUCCUAAUCGAGGAGGUGGGUGUUUUGUGGCCCAAACUCAAGAGAACUUCAUCAAUAUGUAUCGUGUAUUUUCUUUGCUUACAUGUUUGGUGUCUUAAUAAAUAUGCUUAGAACGUGAAUGAGUAUGUUUCACUGUGCGUCUGAUGUAACUGUUUGAUGAUUUAGUAUUUGUAUGUUGUGGCUGAAUGUUCAAUUUCAUGUUUAUCAGUGCUUAGCAUGUUCUAUUCAA